AGUGAACGCUGGCGGUAGGCCUAACACAUGCAAGUCGAACGGCAGCACAGUAAGAGCUUGCUCUUACGGGUGGCGAGUGGCGGACGGGUGAGGAAUACAUCGGAAUCUACUUUUUCGUGGGGGAUAACGUAGGGAAACUUACGCUAAUACCGCAUACGACCUACGGGUGAAAGCAGGGGAUCUUCGGACCUUGCGCGAUUGAAUGAGCCGAUGUCGGAUUAGCUAGUUGGCGGGGUAAAGGCCCACCAAGGCGACGAUCCGUAGCUGGUCUGAGAGGAUGAUCAGCCAAACUGGAACUGAGACACGGCCCAGACUCCGACGGGAGGCAGGAGGGGGGAAUAUGGGAAAAGGGGCGGAAGCCUGACCCAGCCAUACCGGGGGGGUGAAGAAGGCCUUCGGGUUGUAAAGCCCUUUUGUUGGGAAAGAAAAGCAGCAGGUUAAAACCCCGCUGUUCUGACGGUACCCAAAGAAUAAGCCCCGGCUAACUUCGU
rnacentral:rRNA from 1 species